GAUGAACGCUGGCGGCGUGCCUAACACAUGCAAGUCGAACGGAGUCGUUUUGGAAAUCUCUUCGGAGAUGGAAUUCUCGACUUAGUGGCGGACGGGUGAGUAACGCGUGAGCAAUCUGCCUUUAUGAGGGGGAUAACACUCGUAAACGGCUGCUAAUACCGCAUAAAGCAUUAAAUUCGCAUGUUUUUGAUGCCAAAGGAGCAAUCCGCUUUUAGAUGAGCUCGCGUCUGAUUAGCUAGUGGGCGGGGUAACGGCCCACCAAGGCGACGAUCAGUAGCCGGACUGAGGGGUGGAACGGCCACAUCGGGACUGAGACACGGCCCAGACUCCUACGGGGGGAAGCAGUGGGGAAUAUUGCGCAAUGGGGGAAACCCUGACGCAGCAACGCCGCGUGGUUGAAGAAGGCCUUCGGGGUGUAAAGAUCUUUAAUCAGAGACGAAGCAAAUGACGGUACCUGAAGAAUAAGCUCCGGCUAACUACGUG
rnacentral:rRNA from 1 species